GGAUGCCUUGGCUCUCGGAGGCGAAGAAGGACGUGAUAAGCUGCGAUAAGCGCGGGGGAUGUGCAAAUAACAAUUGAUCCCGUGAUUUCCGAAUGGGGCAACCCGGCAGGUUGAAGGCCUGUCAUUCCGUAAGGAAGGCAAACGUGGGGAACUGAAACAUCUAAGUACCCAUAGGAGAAGAAAACAAAAGUGAUUCCCCAAGUAGUGGCGAGCGAACGGGGAACAGCCCAAACCUAUGCUGUUGAGGCAGUAUAGGGGUUGUAGGACUACGAUGUGGCAAGACAUUAGUAAAGUGGAACGUUUUGGAAAGAACGACGACAGAGGGUGACAGUCCCGUACACGACUUACUGACGAAGCCUAGUAGUAUCCUGAGUAGCGCGGGACACGAGAAAUCCUGUGUGAAACUGCGGGGCCCAUCCCGUAAGGCUAAAUACUCCCGAGAGACCGAUAGCGAACCAGUACUGUGAAGGAAAAGGUGAAAAGAACCUCGAACAGAGGAGUGAAAUAGACCCUGAAACCGUCUGCCUACAAGCGGUCGGAGC
rnacentral:rRNA from 1 species